AAAUGUUUACAUCUCUCCUGCUUAUACUUCUCGUCGCCGUCGUUUCGGCAAGAGAAGCCAGAAUUGGUGAGGUGCCAUAUCAGGCAUCCUUAAGAUCUGAGAAGGGUCACAUGUGUUCGGGCGCCAUUUUGUAUAAGAAUUGGAUACUAACUGCCGCUAGAUGCGGCAUGAGUCUACGUCGCCGAAAAGUACAAUAUGUUGUGGUGGGUACAAAUGACAUGACAGCACCAGGUACUAGUUUCCCAGUUGAGAUCAUUCAUGUACAUCACAAGCACAGCCACUAUAAAUACGACGUGGCAGUAGUGAAACUUAACGGUACAAUUAAAUUUACCGACAAAAUCCAACCUAUAGACUUGCCUCUGAGAAGUACAAAACCGGGAGCCAAUAUGCUUUUCUCUGGAUGGAAAGGACCAUCUGAUGUCAAUAUGACAAACAAAUUGCUUUUGAGAAAUGUCACCUCUAUAUCCAGCGAUGCGUGUCGAAAAGAUAUAGGCCCUCAUCUUGAGUUGUACCAAAUUUGCACCACUGAUAACGACCAUUUUAGAAAAGGCGAAGACUUCUUUGAUGGCAGAGGUGGUCCAAUCGUGGAAGGGACAAGAUUGGCAGCCAUCGCAUCCAUUUCGCGUUGGAAUAACGCCGCAAGUAUUCACACAAGGGUCUACGAACUUCUAACGUGGAUUCUAGUUACCAUAGAUCCGGACAUUCGCGUUACUGAUUAAUUACAUGUAUAAUGUAACAUUGACAUAAUUUGUCUUUAAAUUAUUUCUUUA